GGGGGGGGGCACAGGAUCCUGGGCUGUGUCCCCCAGCGCCCUGGGAUCUGGGGCCUGUGCUGCUGGAAUCGCACUCCUGGGGUGCGGCUCCCG
rnacentral:pre_miRNA from 1 species